rnacentral:lncRNA from 1 species
UUGCCUUCCCACGGCUAAAGGUGCAGCUGAGACCUUAAAACUCAACAUGGCUCUUGUUCUUCUCCCUGUUUGUAGAAACACCAUCACAUGGCUCCGCAAGCACCGUCCCAUCAACUCUGUCAUUCCGUUCAACGACAACAUCAACUUCCACAAGGUACACACAGGUUCUCUAAUCUCCCCUUCAUUUCAUGCAAGUUGUUUAUACUUCUUAAGGCAUAAUUCUAAAAAUUAUUCAUAUUAAACUUUGAUUAAUUAAUAUCGAUAAACAAAACAACAUUGAAUAUUGUAUGAAAGUUAGAUAAGAUGUCAUAUUCACUGAAAUGAUUCGGCAAUAUAUAGUUGUUAGAUGCAUGUAUACGACCACCAACUCCUUCUGAGUUUUGGUAAACAAGUUCACUAAAUGAUAGGAGAAUAUAUUAUUGUUAGAUGCCUGUAUGACCACUGAUCCUUUUGAUUUUUGGUAAAAAAAAAUUGGUUCAAGUAUUGAUUAUCAGACCAACAAGAUGGAUGUGUAUGACAUUUUUGUAUUUAUCUAAAUUAAGGUCAUAAACAGUUGAACUUAAGUCUACUAAAAUAUCAAAGAUUGAUUCCAGAGACCCCAUUUGGGAUAUAUCUACAAAUGAUGACGAGUCUCUGUGUUGAAUUAAUUGCAGAUAUUCAAUCUUUUCAUACUCUAGAUUAACGUGUGAGGAAAUAUGUAUAUAGAGAGGGGACUAUCUUUAAUUAUUGAUCGGACUUUUGAGAUUGAAUUCCUACCAAAAUUCUAAGAAAAACAAGCAAAAGCACCUUGUGCCAUUGACAAUAACAAUGAUAUGAAAAAACGAAGUUUUUGGGUUACUUAUGCAGGUUAUAGCAGGAGGAAUAGUGGUGGGUGUGAUAUUGCACGGAGGAACGCACCUUGCGUGUGAUUUCCCAAGAAUUAGUGAGUCAGACAGAUCAAUAUUCCGGCAAACAAUUGCCGCAGGAUUUGGGUACCAUCGACCAACGUACGCAGAAAUUUUGGCCACGACGGAGGUGGCAAGUGGGAUAGCCAUGGUGGUGUUAAU